rfam:Aedes aegypti strain Liverpool supercont1.99 genomic scaffold, whole genome shotgun sequence.
UGCCCAGCAACUCCUAUCCCUACCUCCUCGUGGUACUGGCCGGGGUACGAGUAACCUUGGGGAAGAUCGGGUAACCAACCCUCGGUGGGAACUUUGGUCGUAUGCUGACAGGGAAGG